ACUCGGGUUGCACUGGAUGUGGCUGCUGUGAUCUGACCCAUGGGUAUCAGCUGUAGUGUUUGAGGUCUUUAAGUCUUAAGACUCAAGUCAGAGUUCCGUGACAGAUACACCAUUUGUGCGUGUAGGUGGAAUAUCUACAGCGGCACUAAAGAAGGUACUCCGUAGGAUUGUAGUUCCCUACUAGAGGAGGGAGGAGCUGGACCUGGUUUUGAAGCGUCCGCCGCUCUGUAGGUCCACAGACUAGUUAGUGGAAAGCACACAUCUCAGGUCGAACAAGGAGGGAAAGAGCUGGAAUCACAGAGGAGACCCCUGAAUGACCUUAGGGAUCUGGACUUCCGGGCUGGUGACUGGCCUCUACCUUUGAGUCCGUGGCGUCCACUAGAGAUGACAUUCGAGGCGGCUCCCGGCGUGAGGCUGUCUCCACUCUUUCUCCCUUUGUGACUGCUGUUUGUUAGAAGUUCCCUCACCUUGUUUUCCUCACAUAUACUCACUUCUGUGCCCAACCCACAGUAGUCGCUCCUAAUGCACUCCCUGGAAAGACAAAAAUGAGGAGCCUGAAGGAGGUUCAGCUGGUGAAGGUGCUUGGUUGUCCAAGCUUGAACGCCUGCCUGAGUUUGAUCCCUGGAACCCAUGUAA
rnacentral:lncRNA from 1 species